GGGGGCGUUUUUGGAUUCGACGGGGAUUGUUCGAGCAUGUAGUAGCGAGUCGUGGGGCUGCGAGGCCACGUAAAAAACGCGGACCUAAUUUAAACGCUAAAAACAACAGCAACAACUCUUUCGCGUUCGCAGCUUAGUCUGUGAAUCCGUUCAGCUCUCUAUCUCCCGCGUAGCGGGUUGAACGUCACUUUAGCGGGAUCGUCGAAGGGAUCGCCCGUGGCCCUCCGACUAAACUAAAACGAGCUGGUUGAAGGGAAGCGUGUCGCUCCGCGUCCCCGAUACGACAACCAAACGAGACGACUACACUCGUAGAAGCUCAUGUAGCGAGGUCUUCGGACAGGGGUUCGACUCCCCUCGCCUCCACCA
rnacentral:tmRNA from 1 species